AUUGAACGCUGGCGGCAGGCCUAACACAUGCAAGUCGAGCGGAUGAAGGGAGCUUGCUCCUGGAUUCAGCGGCGGACGGGUGAGUAAUGCCUAGGAAUCUGCCUGGUAGUGGGGGAUAACGUCCGGAAACGGGCGCUAAUACCGCAUACGUCCUGAGGGAGAAAGUGGGGGAUCUUCGGACCUCACGCUAUCAGAUGAGCCUAGGUCGGAUUAGCUAGUUGGUGGGGUAAAGGCCUACCAAGGCGACGAUCCGUAACUGGUCUGAGAGGAUGAUCAGUCACACUGGAACUGAGACACGGCCCAGACUCCUACGGGAGGCAGCAGUGGGGAAUAUUGGACAAUGGGCGAAAGCCUGAUCCAGCCAUGCCGCGUGUGUGAAGAAGGUCUUCGGAUUGUAAAGCACUUUAAGUUGGGAGGAAGGGCAGUAAGUUAAUACCUUGCUGUUUUGGCGUUACCAACAGAAUAAGCACCGGCUAACUUCGUG
rnacentral:rRNA from 1 species